rnacentral:lncRNA from 1 species
UGCUCUCUGCCUUCUUCUUCUUCAUCUUUUUUGUCACUCUCACUCACUCUCUCACAACAUAAACUUUUUCUUUUCUCUGCAUAAAAUUUUUUCCCAGGAAUAUUUCUUUUACAAAACCCAUUCAUUCCUAAACAAGAUAAAAGCAUCUCUCUCUUUUUUUUUCCCUUAACUCACCAAACUCUGAUUCCUUAAGCAUAUAUCAAAAAAAAAAAACUAAAGCUCUCUUCUUUAUUUUCUUUCAACUUUCCCGGGAAAAUCUUCUCUCUUGUUUUUACAAAAGCAUCAAUCUUUUUUUGUUUCUCUUUUACUUUUCCUAACUUU